AUGGUUGAAACAUCAUGCUAGAUCAGGAGGUGAUAGACACAAAAACGACAGUCGCUUCUUUUGCCGCCGCUCCCCUCUCCGAUUCUUUUUCUUCUUCUCAGCCUGCCCCGAUCAACCUCAAUCGGCACGAUGUUGAGUUUCGGCGGUUAUUUCUUCCCAUUCGUCACUGAGAAAAAAAAAGA
ensembl:ncRNA T25C12.8 ncRNA